rnacentral:rRNA from 1 species
UACGAAGGGUGCAAGCGUUGUUCGGAAUUACUGGGCGUAAAGGGCGCGUAGGCUGGUUUGUAAGUCUAAUGUGAAAUCCCCGGGCUUAACCCGGGACGUGCAUUGGGAACUGCAGAUCUUGAAUGCUUGAGAGGGUGGUAGAAUUCCAGGAGUAGAAGUGAAAUUCGUAGAUAUCUGGAGGAACACCGGAGGCGAAGGCGGCCACCUGGCAAGACAUUGACGCUGAGGCGCGAAAGUGCGGGGAGCAAACAGGAUUAGAUACCCUGGUAGUCCGCACCGUAAACGAUGGAUACUAGAUGUUUGGAGAAUUAACCCUCCGAGUAUCAAAGUUCACACAUUAAGUAUCCCGCCUGGGGAGUACGGCCGCAAGGCUG